GAACGCCUGGCCCUGUGGAACCCUAAACGGCCGCGGUACAAACCGUGCAAAGGUAGCACAAUCACUUGUCCCUUAAAUGAGGACCCGUAUGAAAGGCAACAUGAGAGAACACCUGUCUCCUAAGGUCAGCCAGUGAAAUUGAUCCAUCAGUACAAAAGCUGAUAUAAUUUAGCAAGACAAAAAGACCCUGUGGAACUUUAACAAAUUACUUACACCAAAUAAGCAAUAGUUUCAGUUGGGAUAACUUUAGAAAAAAUAAACUUCUAACACCUCCAAGACCAACAAGUCUAACUACACCACUAUACGACCCAGUAAUACUGAUUAACGAAACAAGCUACCCUAGGGAUAACAGCGCUACCUUCUCAAAGAGUCCAUAUCAACAAGAAGAUCUACGACCUCGAUGUUGGAUCAGGGUACCCAGACGGUGCAGCAGCUGUCAACGGUUCGUUUGUUCAACGACUAACACCCU
rnacentral:rRNA from 1 species